rnacentral:lncRNA from 1 species
UAUAUGCAAUGUAUUGUCAUAGACAUUAUCAACAUUAAAUUGAGUGUCAACCGACAUUUUCUAUAACUAUCAAUAAAUUAGCAUUUCAUGUAAAAAUUAAUUAAGUUUAAAUUUUUCUAAGUGGUAAACAUUACAUUAAAUCCAUUGAGAAUAAAGAGUUGAAAAAAUGAAUGAGACGCAACUAUGUGUUUUUAGAAUCAAGAG